AUGUUCAUGCAGCGGUAGUAUCUGCACUAGCAAGGUCAAUCCAAGGCAUGAUAUUUGCUCUCUGAAAACUGUUCCAAUAUCGCUCCCUCAUAACUAGACAUACAGUCAGCACUGGCAAUUUUUGACCACCUCUAAAGAGA
rfam:Patagioenas fasciata monilis isolate BTP2013 Sc31e1R_1, whole genome shotgun sequence.